rnacentral:sRNA from 1 species
GCUGCCUGGCGGCGGGGCGCGGGGCACGCUGGGACGUCUCGCUGGCGGGAGGCCACGGGCUUUCCACAGCGCGGGGGAACGAGAGGCUGCAGGAUGGUCAAGCUGACGGCGGAGCUGAUCGAGCAGGCGGCGCAGUACACUAACGCGGUGCGCGACCGGGAGCUGGACCUCCGGGGGUAUAAAAUUCCCGUCAUUGAAAAUCUAGGUGCUACUUUAGACCAGUUUGAUGCUAUUGAUUUUUCUGACAAUGAGAUCAGGAAACUGGAUGGUUUUCCUUUGUUGAGAAGACUGAAAACAUUGUUAGUGAACAACAACAGAAUAUGGUAAGUGUCUGUAGGGGAAAGUAAUUUUUCCCCCAGGGUAAAUGUUGCAGUGUUCCCUGAAGAAGUUGUAGCAUGUGCUACCGGUUAAACCUACAUGUUUCUUUUUCUUUUUCUUUUUUUUUAAAUAUUUUUUCCAUGAUGGAAGCCACAUUUAAUACAUGUUUUUU